AUCCAUGACCAGCUUCUACCUGCCUGUCACCCUCUCAGGGUCUCAGCUGUCUAGCCCUGUUCCCUCUAGGGAAUGGUGCCAGUCACCAUGAGAGGUUUAAAGAUGUGAACUCAGCUGCCACAUCUCUGCUCUGCCAUCAUGGACUCACCUCCUGAAGUUGUAAGUUGAAAUAAACUCACCCUUGGGUUGCCUUCAUCAUGGGAUUUCAUGACAGCAACAGAAAGGGGCUAUGAUGAGCCUUGGAACACAGCACAAAAGUUAAAAUACACAGUCAUGGCGGAGAGAAAAGACACACACAGAUGCCACCCCUUAGAAUCACUUUUGAGCACAGGGAAAAAGUAAAAAGAAAACAGACAGGAAAAACAGACUCCUGCAAAAUGAAGCAGAGGAGACGGCAUGAGUCGUGAGGAACUCAAGAAGUACCAGCAAAGCCCCAAACAGCCUGUAAGCCUCACGCAAGCAGGCAUACGCUGUGGGAAUCUUUCUUCAUGGUAACGUUGGCAUUGGAACAAUGUAGGUGUGAGGUCAAGUGCAGCACUAGCCAAAGUGACUUUGGGAGCUCCAAGCUGCCUAAACUACAAGGGGAAACAAACAUGUUCCAGACCUAAGCCCUUCCUGGGUCACCAGAGGAAUCAGAUUAGGCAAAUUAGAUCUUUCAGAAAAGCACACACGUGAGCAGUGUGGCUCAUAUCCAUAAUCCUACCAUUUAGGAGGCUAAGGCAGAAGGUUUGCCCUGAGUUCAAGACCAGUCUAAGCCUCUGCAUGAGACUCUGCCUCAAAAAGUCAAAAAAAAAAGGUAGAGAUGCUUCUGGGCAAACAUGCUCCUCAAACCUAAGCUCUAUCCCUGCAUCCACAAGGCAUCAAGAGAAAGACAGUCCCAGAGAAUUGUCCCCUGAACUCAUAUGGAAGGUAUUUGUGCAUGUUCACAUAACAAAUUAAAUUAAAUUUAAAAUAAAAAACCUACAACUAAGCAUCUAAACAAAACAUGUCAUGUUUUGUCCAGACCUCCAGAAAUUGUGCAUACCAAAAUACACUGGCACUGACCCCAAAUGCAAAACAGGGGCUGGCCAACCUUUUCUGUGAAGGGCCUGGCAGUAACAGAGCUCAACCCCACUAAGUGCACAUCUGUCACAGUAUUCAGCUACCCACGUAGUACAAAACAUAAGUGAACAUCAUGUAUGCCAAUAAAACUUUAUCGAUGGACACAACAAAUUGAACUUCAUGGAAUUGUCAUGGGUCAUACAAUUUUGUUACCAUUCUGAGUUGAAGGGCUGUACAAAU